UUUGAGCAGAGGGGAGAGAUGAUAGGAUGGAAGAGGAGAGAGUAGCAAAUGUAUAAAAAAACUGAAAUAUCACAUUUACAUAAGUAUUCAAACCUUUACUCAGUACUUUGUUGAAGAACAUUUGGCAGGGCCUCCCGGGUGGCGCAGUGGUCUAGGGCACUGCAUCGCAGUGCUAACUGCGCCACCAGAGUCUCUGGGUUCGCGCCCAGGCUCUGUCGCAGCCGGCCGCGACCGGGAGGUCCGUGGGGCGACGCACAAUUGGCAUAGCGUCGUCCGGGGUAGGGAGGGUUUGGCCGGUAGGGAUAUCCUUGUCUCAUCGCGCUCCAGCGACUCCUGUGGCGGGCCGGGCGCAGUGCGCGCCAGCCAAGGGGGGCCAGGUACACGGUGUUUCCUCCGACACAUUGGUGCGGCUGGCUUCCGGGUUGGAGGCGCGCUGUGUUAAAGAAGCAGUACGGCUGGUUGGGUUGUGCUUCGGAGGACGCAUGGCUUUCAACCUUCGUCUCUCCCGAGCCCGUACGGGAGUUGUAGCGAUGAGACAAGGUAGUAAUUACUAGCGAUUGGAUACCACGAAAAUUGGGGAGAAAAUGAGAUAAAAAAAUUUAAAAAAUAAAAUUAAAAAAAAGAACAUUUGGCAGCGAUUACAGCCUCGAGUCUUCUUGGGAUUGACGCUGCAAGCUUGGCACACCUGUAUUUGGGGAGAUUCUCCCAUUCUUCUCUGCAGAUCCUCUCAAGGUCUGUCAGAUUGGAUGGGGAGUGAUGCUGCACAGCUAUUAUCAGGUCUCUCCAGAGAUGUUCGAUCAGGUUUAAGUCCGGGCUCUGGCUUGGCCACUCAAGAACAUUCAGAGACUUGUCCAGAAGCCACUCCUGUAUUGUCUUGGCUGUGUGCUUAGGGUCGUUGUCCUGUUGGAAGGUAAACCUUUGCCCCAUGUCCGAGGUCCUGAGCGCUCUGGAACAGGUUUUCAUCAGGGAUCUCACUGUACUUUGCUCCGUUCAUCUUUGCCUCAAUCCUGACUAGUCUCCCAGUCCCUGCCGCUGAAAAACAUCCCCACUACCAAUUACUUUCCGUUAGUGUUUAGUGUGUCAAAUCAGAGGGCCUUUUGUCCGGACCUCUGGCAGUCUUUAUGGGGGUGCCACAGGGUUCAAUUGUCGGGCCGACUCUUUUCUCUGUAUAUAUCAAUGAUGUCGCUCUUGCUGCUGGUGAUUCUCUGAUCCACCUCUCUGCAGACGACACCAUUCUGUAUACAUCUGGCUCUUCUUUGGAAACUGUGCUAACAAACCUCCAAACGAGCUUCAACGCCAUACAACACUCCUUCAAUGGCCUCCAACUGCUUUUAAAUGAUAGUAAAACUAAGUGCAUGCUCUUCAACCGAUUGCUGCCCUCACCCUCCCGCCCGACUAGCAUCACUACUCUGGACGGUUUUGACCUAGAAUAUGUGGACAACUACAAAUACUCAGGUGUCUGGUUAGACUGUAACCUCUCCUUCCAGACUCACAUUAAGCAUCUCCAAUCCAAAAUUAAAUUUUGAAUUGGCUUCCUAUUUCGCAAACAUAGCCUCCUUCAACUCAUGCCGCCAACCAUACCCUCGUAAAACUGACCAUCCUACAUAUCCUUGACUUCAGCGAUAUCAUUUACAAAAUAGCCCCCAACACUCUCCUCAGCAAACUGGAUAUAGUCUAUCACAGUGCCAACUGUUUUAUCACCAAAGCCCCAUAUACUACCCACCACUGCGACCUGUAUGCUCUUGUUGGCUGGCCCUCACUACAUAUCCAUCGCCAAACCCACUGGCUCCAGGUCAUCUAUAAGUCUUUGCUUGGCAAAGCCCCGCCUUAUCUCAGCUCACUGAUCACCAUAGCAACACCCACCUGAAGCACACGCUCCAGCAGGUAUAUUGCACUGGUCAUCACCAAAGCCAACACUUCGUUUGGCUGCCUUUCCUUCCAGUUCUCUGCUGCCAAUGAUGAAUGAAUUGCAAAAAUCUCUGAAGCUGGAGUUUUAUAUCUCCCUCUCUAACUUUAAGCAUCAGCUGUCAGAGCAGCUUACCGUUCACUGUACCGGUACACCGCCAAUCUGUAAAUAGCACACCCGACUACCUCAUCCCCAUAUUAUUACUUACCCUCUUGCUCUUUUGCACAUCAGUGUUUCUACUUGCACAUCAUCAUCUGCACAUCUAUCACUCCAGUAUUAAUGCUAAAUUGUAAUUAUUUUUGCCUCUAUGGCCUAUUUAUUGCCUACCUAUAAGGCCUAUUUAUUAGGGCCUCCCUACUCUUCUACAUUUGCACACACUAUACAUUAUUUUUUUCUAUAUUUCUUUUCUUUUAUGUUAUUGACUGUACGUUUGUUUAUGUGUAACUCUGUGUUGUUUUUGUCGCACUGCUUUGCUUUAUCUUUAUCUUAUCUUUAUCAGAUCAUGUUUCCAUACUGGUAAAUAAAGAAAACGGAGGCUUGCUACUACACAGUUCCAAAGAAAUGUAGAGCCUUUAAAGUACAUUGGAAGAAGGGGGAUAUAUAUUUAUGGUAAAUAAGCUGAAUCUCAUUUGAGUGUGUGUUAUCAUUCCCAUGUCCCUCUAGAAAAGAGAAUCAAGCAGACCAUUGUAAGGAUGUCUCUGAAAUCUAUCUCAGGAGUUGACCUCAAUGACCCAGUGGUAAAGGAACAGAUGUUGGAGCAGGUACAGUAGUCCUACAUCUCCCACUUCAGAAAUCAAUGUCAUGCUCACUCAUUUCACUCUUCUCAUGACAUCUCAUAGUAUUACAUUUAGGAUGCUCAAAUGUAAUGCGUGUUGCUGGCUUCAUCUAGUUUGAUCAUAUCUCACAGAUCAGAAAUGAGCUGGCCAAGAACGGGAACUUCAUCCUAGACCAAUGCUGGAGAGAACUGCCUAAUGGAGAAGUUUUUUGCAAAACAGUUGAACUUGAAAGCCCUGACGAAUGUACACACUUUGUGUCACAGUUAUGAAAACUGUGUGUUAGGUUUUGCAUCCCAUUGACAGUAUGGAAAUGAAGUAAGGUGUUCAUGAACUAAUUCCAGUGAAAGUCUUUGUAUUGUUGUGUUUGUUUUCUUAGGUCACUGUGGGUCUGGAUGAAGAGGACCAGCCAUGAUGAUGCAACAGGAGAGGCAUGGAACGUCAAAGAAAACUAAAAUAGUCCAUUAUAAAUAAUGUAUUAAAUAAGAUUAUUAAAUUAUUUUUAGUUUACGUUAUUCACGUUGUGAAAGUUAGCUUUCUCUUAUGAAAUACGAAAGAAAAAUAUAAAGUAUAUUUAUGUUAGGCUAGAUUUAGAUUUGACUAUAUUUCUCUAAUGCAACAUACAAUUAUAAUCUAGAUGUUUUGUUGGUGUUUGAACGUAUUGUGAUAAAAAAAAGCUUGUUGGGCAAUUUGAUUAGUGAAGAGAAGUGGAUUUUAAAGUUUGUAGUUAAAACAUGUAUGGUGACAGUGAGGGAUUUUCAUAGUGUAACAUUCUUCAUAAUGAUGUUACACUCUCACUCAUGGAUGUAACUGUUGACAUUCUUACAUAAAAUAGGUUUGAUUUGUGACAUCAGUAUUACCAUUAUUUUCACCCUCCAGCAAGAAUGGUGAGAUGGAGACACAAAUCACAACAAUGUAGAAUGAAUUGUCCACUUCCAGGUGGCAUGGUUCAGAGAACUGUAAAGAAGGAGACAAACUCUUGUAGGUGUAACAGAAUGACAGAAUCCAUGUUAUCAAGUUAAUCAACGUUUGGAUAUCAUUAGAGUUUUCCCUGGUGUCAUGGUUUGUUGACUGUGUCAGCUAUUACAGUCAUAAACACUGGCUCAUGGAUAGCAGGGUAGAGGUGUGGGGCUUAUUCAUGUAGUUGAUGGCUGUUAUAUAUUAAUCAACUUGAUAAACCAAACAGCCUGAAUCAGUUAGUGAAGGUUCAAAAUAUUUGACAUCCUACAUUUUUUGAAUGAUGUAGUCAUUUAGCAUUUAUUCAAAUUGACAAAAAGACAGGGAAGUAAAACCACAUACUAACUACUUGUAACACUAAACUCCAUCUAAAUAAUCUAUCAGGAACUAUGCUUUUGUAAAUACAGAAUUACAUUGCACUUUGUUAACACAAUUGGGUAUUAGGCUGCCAUAGCCUUGCAGGUACCACAUAUAAAACAGGACUUAAUAUACAAUCACUGGAAGGUCUAUGAUACUCAUAUAUUCAAACAGCAGGUUUCUAGCCAAAGACAUAGACAGGGGUAGUUGUAAUUAUACUGCAGUAUGCUCUUAUUGUACUAUGUACAGGCUACUGCUGUCUAAUUUUGAUCAACUGACCUCUGAUCUUGAACUUCCUCUAGUGGAGAUUUAAAAUACUGGUAAAUAAAACUGAUUAAUUGGUCUUGCUGGGGCCCCUAUGCUUUCCCUCACCUAGAUGCUCUGAACACUGAGGUGUGCCUUAUUAUUGUAAUGUAAUAUGUGUUUAUCAUGACCUUAAAAGGCAAAUGGCAAUGGCCAUGCUGCUUGAUAUGUUAUUUAAAGUUACCAAAGGAAACCUAACCUAGACAAGAGGGCCCAAAAAAUAGUAUACUUCUUCCAGAAAGACAGAUUUAGGGUUAAUACCAUUACAGGGGAAGAACUGACAUGAACAUUUUCAACUGACAUUUACCCAUAAUUUCCCUAAGCGCAAAGCCUUGAUUUACCAAUCAAAUGAAGAGCAGGACAUAUCAGGUUCUCUAAACUGAGUGGACAAAUUAUUAGGAACACCUUCCUAAUUUUGAGUUGUAGUUCUUGACACACUCAAACCGGUGUGCCUGGCACCUAUUACCAUAUCCCGUUCAAAGGCACUUAAAUCUUUUGUCUUGCCCAUUCACCCUUUGAAUGGCAGACACACAAUCCGUGUUUUAAAUUAACUGUCUCAAUGCUUAAAAAUCAUUCUGUAACCUGUCUCCUCCACUUUAUCUACACUGAUUGAAGUGGAUUUACAAGUGACGUCAAUAAGGGAUCAUAGCUUUCACUUGGAUUUACCUGGUCAGUCUUUGUCAUGGAAAGAGCAGGUGUUCCUAAUGUUUUGUGCCCUCGGUGUAUAUCUCCAUGGGGAUUGGAACUUUUUUUUAGGUUGUUUGAUUUACAAUAUAGGGACAUAAACACAGUCUUGGUGGGUCCACUCUUUCUAGAAUGAUCUUUCAGCAAGACAACAGAGAGGCUUGAUGAGGUUGACUGAGACAAGGGUGUGUUCAAAGAAGGAGGAGAGCAGAUCCUCUUUCUAAACACUCCAGCUACAGUACUUCUCCACCUGUCUGCUCAUCAAAACCAAACAAGCCUUGGCGAGAGAGAGAGAGAGAGAGAGGAAGAGCCAUAAAGUGGCUAUGUGGCUCCCAACAGUGUUGGCAGUAUUUCUGGGUGCAGCCCCUGACCUCUUCUUCAGCCAGCAGUCCUUGGAUGAGUCCUUCAGUGAUACCAGAGCAGUUGAACCAUCUCACUGCUCACAGGGAUUCCUGGUUGACAAAGACUUUGGUGGGAACGACAUUCGGAUGGUGUAUGAACGGAACCGCCAUCAUUGUCAUUAUGUAGGCCUAGUUAUUUAGCAAAUGCUUUUAUCCAAAUCGACAUAGAGACCAGGAAGUAAAACCACAUCCUAACUACUUGUACUGUAGCACUGAACUCCAACCAAAUAAGCUAUCAGUAUGGACUACAACGUGUCCGUACCAGGAGUUCCUGGGUACAUGGCCUCUUGUACAUCCAGAAUUACAUUGCACUUUGUUUACACCAUUUGGGAUUAGGCUGCCAUAGCCCUACAGUUACCACAUAGAAAACAAGACUUUAUUUAAUUUGCGUUGGGCUGUAGGAAGGUGACCUGCUUUGCAUGAAGCUGGGAGAAUGCACUGACACGGGUUACAAUUAUAUUUUUUACGUUUUGUUUUUUAACCACAUAUCUUCAUAUCUCGUAUAUCAGAGGUCAGUGGAUAUUGUUCUGUACAAGGCUAUUUAGUGAAGCACAUGUCCAAUGCAAAUACAAUAAAGUUUG